CUCAUCUGUCAAAAGUGUCUAUAUGCAGUGAGAGGAAGACAUGAGAGGCCUGGACAGCGGGAGGCUCAGUGUGCAUGAAGGAGCCCAGUCCGUGGCCUCCCCACACGCACAGUCAGCGCCAUGACAUCCGGGGAGGAGGUGAACUUGUGUUCUGAUGUUCUCGUCUCCUGUAGGGGAAGGAGAGCAUGGGGGCCAUCAGCUGGAAGUCCUUUUCUGUUCCUGCUGAUUGAGUCUCUGGGCCUGACUGGUUUGGUCAUGAGAACUGACCACCUGGAGUAGCGAGCUGGGUCCCAAAGCCUUUGACGAGUUUUCUUCUGCUUCCCUGCUCUGGGAACCAAGUAACAGCGGCGGCAGCAGCUUCUGGGCCUCCUAACUGACCUCCCCUUUCAGUUGAAGGCCAGUACGGUUUUGGGUGGGUCAGCGGUGGCUGACAGGACUGGUGAUGUCACUGCCGGGAAGGCAGCCCUGCUUUCCUCUCACAGGGGUGGAUUCUGAAGGGACGGUGGCUAUGUCUGCUCCUGUCAAAGAUGCCUCCCAGUCAUCAUGUUCAUAGGCUGCCACUCAGCCAGGACAGAGUGGCACCAUUGAGUCACAGGUCCUAUUGGGCAGACAUUUGCAUAUUGACCAGUAACCAUGGCAACCCGAUGCUGGACUCCCAGCAGGGCCAGGUUUACCAGAUGAUACACAAAGUCUUCAUCCUGGACACAUCUUAUGACACACAGUUACAGGGGCCUGGCCAGGGAGGCCAGGACGCGGGCCCCUGAUGAGAGCACGUGCUCAUGUGUUUGUGCGUGUGAGUGCAGGCGUGUGCUUGUGUUUGAGCACGUGUCAGUAGGUGCUUACGUGUGUGUGUGUAUGUAGGUACAUGUGUGUGUUCUUUCACUUGGGCGGUAUACCGAUGUGCAGGUUUUGACUCUCAGGAAAUGGAGUGGCUGUCAGGGGAAGAAGGAAUGCAAUUGUGGCCAUAGGCUCUGUUUCCAUGGACUCUGCAAAAGCUAACUAGGCAAACCAGAAAGCUCUACCUCACAAGUGGAAGAAAGGAAGGGAAUGGAGUCCUGGAUGGGGACUCAGACCAGAGAGGGCCUGGAGAGAAUCACCAAUCAUCCCUUGAAUCCUCAUUUCCUCUUUCAGUAGGCAGCAAACCCCAUCCCACCCUAUCCUUGAGCCGCAUAAAUGUCUCUGGCCUCUGGCCUCUGUGGAAACCAGUGCCCUGGCGCUUGUUCUCCCUCAGCAUCCCCUUCCCCACUCUCCCCCAUCGCCCCAAGUCAAAUAAAACAAACUCUGGCCAGACCCAAAGACAGGCUGAGAACUUGUUUGUCUCUCGCAAACGCACCAGCACACACGUGCAUACACUCAUUGCCUGGCCCCAUCAGCACCUGACAUCCUCAACAGGCUUUAAAAGGCAGGCGAGGGCCCCGCCCCUGCUUCUCCCAUUGCUGGCCAGGCUGUCCGCUCUCGGAAGGGGGGAAGGGGGGAAGGGGUGCGGAGGCCUGAGCGCAGCCCCCCACGCUUGCAGAGAGAAUCCGGGGCUGUUACUGUGCCCAGCCGAGAGUCGGGACGGGGUGGGGGGUGGCAGGGGGGCAAAUCCGUCUCCUCCGAACAGGCUUCUAGUUAGCACUGACGACUGAGAGGAGCCCAGGACACUACCACUCCCUACCCCCCUCCCUUCCCCCGCCGCUCCCUCUAGUCUCUCUAGGCAAGGCCCGGUCCCUCUCGCGUGGGGAGAUUGUCAGUCACCAGGGAGGAAAAGAAAUAGAAGAAAGAGACAUACUGGAGAAGUUGACCAUUGCGAACUGCUGACACCUGUCCCCGGUGUAUCCCACAGGGCACCUACCAAAAGAAAGAAAACCAGAAAGAGAGAGCCAGGAUAGCAAGACACAGGCAUUGCAACACCCCGGCACGGGCUCCUGCCGAUGCCAGCUGGGUUCCUUGCCACCGUUACCGCUUGUACUGGCCUUGCCACUCUGCCCCUUACCUGCAGCCCUGAACUUUAAACCCAAGGAUUAGGCCAAAAAAUGAAAAACAAAGCAAAACAAAAGAACAAACCAAAAUACAAAAAAAGAAAAGAGAAACAAAACAAAACAGCCAAAGAUCAAAACAACCAACACCCCUGGCCCUAUGCCCUACAUCGGGGGGACUGCACCCGGAAGCUUUCUAAGGAGCAGGGACUUGUGUUUGUAUCUUCAAACAUACUUUGCUUAGGAUCUGGCAUGUACAAUCGCAAAGGCAGUUUCUCCAAACAUCUCUGUCCGAAGAAUCCGUUUGGACAUCUGGAGAAGGAAAAGGGGAAAAAUCACAGAACAAACUGGCAUCAUCCGCGAGGCUCAGAAAAACAGGGACGGAGUGUGCCUGCUUUCCAACACUCCCUGCAGGGCUCUGAACCAAUACACAACAACAAGUGUCAGAAAACCAGGAAGGAAAACUGAGUUUUAUAGAAACUGGAAUGAAACUGACCAGUCUAGUUUCAUUAUCCAAGCUAAGCGGAAAUGCAAAAAAAUCAAAAUAAAAAGUAAACAAACAGCACAAAUGGUAAGACGUGAGUUCUGUUUCCUAUAUUCUUUCCUUUUUAUUCCAUUCAGGUGUCAUCAGGCAUCCCAAGAGGCCUGCCCCCCACUUCCCUCCCAGCUCACCCACCCCCAGAAUGGCCUCUGGGUUCUGCCCUGCCCCCCACCCCCCCUGUCCUUCUCCAGCACAGCUCUGAGGACUUGCCCUCCUGAAAGCGAUCUCCCCUGAGGGCUCAGGGAGUCAGGGAAGUUGGUUCCAGGAGCCCUGGCUAGGGCUGACCCUAGGGCAGGUUGAAAUGGGGAGGUGGUGCUUCUGGGUACCAAGGUCAAGUUCUAAGCAGGGAAUCCCAAUUGCCCUGGUGAGGAGGGGCACAGGACACCAUCUUCAUAAUGAUUUAGGCUCCUGCCCUCUGCUACUCUCAGAUUUAGCUGGGGGUGACUCAGAAGGUCCUAGGGCUACAGCCUUGCUGGCAGGACCCUUUGGAAUCUCACAAGCUCAUCACACCACUUUCCACGCUAAAUGCUAGCACUGAAGUCCUGCAAUCCCAUGGCCCUCUGUGGCCCUGGUACCUGUCCUGGGUGGCUGAAAACUUCCCUGCCUGGAGCCAGGGCUGAUCUCCUUAAUGCUGCUGGAUUCCUUCAAGGUUCCAGGGUCCAAGGGGCUAGGGAGGUGUGGUGUGUACGUGUUUGUGUGUGUUGUGUGUGUGUGUGUUUGGGGAUUAAAAAAAGAGGGGCCUGCAGGGCCGGGCCAUGUCUGUGGGGUACUCCAGAACGCUUAUGAGUUUCUGUAGAUGUAUUGCAGAGAGCUCAGACCAUUUUCAAGUCUAGAAUGUUCCACACAGUCUCUAGCACUAAUGUGGCAGCCUCCUAGGGGCAGAAGGAGGGAAAGAUGAGGGGCUGAGUCCAGGCUGAGAAUUUCCCUGGGGGACCUGCGGUGGCUGCAAAUUCAGGAUGGGGGAGGACAGUAAGGGGAUGGCAGCAGGUGCAAGGUGGGAUUGCGGGGGGAAGCCGGCAAAGGAGGCCCGCUGGGGAAAGAGGCACAGAUCUGCCUGGCAGUCCGGGUCUAGCUCAGCUAGCCCGGCACAGAGGGGAGAGUGUCAAGGAGGCACGGCCCCUCAUUAUUCCCGUGUGAGGUGGAGGGGUCUUUGGCUAAGGCUGUAGUCAGUGGGGGGAUGCAGCUCUGGAGCUGGAGCCCAGAGGCAGGAGAGCUGAGAGGUGCUGAAUCUGACCUUGUCUGUGAGGAGGGCAAAUGCCUCUCUGAAUUUCUACUAAUACUCUAGUGGCUUUUGCCCAGAUGCCAUGGGAAUGGGGCAACUGUGG